AAGCACAGAACAACCUCAGGGCUGCUCUGCAGGAGGAGUUAAGUGUCUGCUCACAGUCAUGUAAGGAUUGGGGUACAAGGUGAUGGAGGGGAUCGCCCGGAGGUUCCAACAAUAUAGAAACAUUUCAGUUAAUAUCUUCCACUGAACAGAAUUUUUCUGAUUGACCCAUCAUGGAUAGGGACAGAGACAAGAUGGCAGAGAGGAUAUUAAAUCUCACCCUAGAGAUAAUCUUCCAACUUACUGGAGAGGAUUACACAGUGGUGAAGAAGACCUUUAGUGAACGCUGUCAGGCCCCUGUAUCUGAAGGAUGGGGAAGAACCCUGAGCCUUAUCACAGGUCCUCCACCUUACGCCCUGAUACAUGAGGAGAUCAAUGACCAGAAGAUCCUAGAACUCACCCACAAGAUGAUUGAGCUGCUGACUGG